rnacentral:rRNA from 1 species
GAUGAACGCUGGCGGCGUGCCUAAUACAUGCAAGUCGAGCGAACAGAUGAGGAGCUUGCUCCUCUGACGUUAGCGGCGGACGGGUGAGUAACACGUGGAUAACCUACCUAUAAGACUGGGAUAACUUCGGGAAACCGGAGCUAAUACCGGAUAAUAUAUUGAACCGCAUGGUUCAAUAGUGAAAGACGGUUUUGCUGUCACUUAUAGAUGGAUCCGCGCCGCAUUAGCUAGUUGGUAAGGUAACGGCUUACCAAGGCAACGAUGCGUAGCCGACCUGAGAGGGUGAUCGGCCCCACUGGAACUGAGACACGGUCCAGACUCCGACGGGAGGCAGCAGUAGGGAAUCUUCCGCAAUGGGCGAAAGUCUGACGGAGCAACGCCGCGUGAGUGAUGAAGGUCUUCGGAUCGUAAAACGCUGUUAUUAGGGAAGAACAAAUGUGUAAGUAACUAUGCACGUCUUGACGGUACCUAAUCAGAAAGCCACGGCUAACUACGU